rnacentral:rRNA from 1 species
CCCUUAGAUGUCCUGGGCCGCACGCGCGUUACACUGAUGCAUUCAACGAGCUUAUAACCUUGGCCGAGAGGCCUGGGCAAUCUUGUUAACGUGCAUCGUGAUAGGGAUAGAUUAUUGAAAUUAUUAAUCUUGAACGAGGAAUUCCUAGUAAACGCAGAUCAUCAAUCUGCAUUGAUUACGUCCCUGCCCUUUGUACACACCGCCCGUCGCUACUACCGAUUGAAUGAUUUAGUGAGGACUUCGGACUGGGACCGAUGCGGCUUUCGGGCUGCGUCGGUAUUCUGGAAAGAUGUCCAAACUGUAUCAUUUAGAGGAAGUAAAAGUCGUAACA